AUUAGAUAUGAAGUUCUUUGCUGUUGGAGUGAUAAGUCUUUGUCUGUAUGGUAGGUUAAAAUAUACAAUAUUUUCUCAAUCCUGAUUGCACAGUUCAUAUUUAAACUAUGUAUGAAGUGAUCAUUUUUUAAAACUCAUAAUGGGAAAUAAUUAAGAUUGCUUUUGAAUAUUUAACAUAACAAAACAAUUUAAAAUAUGUUAAUUGUGUUAUUUGCUUGUUUUUUCGCUAACACUAGACGGACAAAUGGCAAAGGUACUUUAUGAAGAACGAAACGUUUAGCUGUUGAUAUUGCUUUAAUAUCUUAAAGAUUUGUUACUGUGGCAUAAUUGAUAUUUUUUAUUGACUAAACUUGUAUUGUAGUGUCAAAAAAUUACAAAUCACAAAUUAAUUUGUAUUUUUUUAAUACGUUUGAAAAAGUGAAAUCACAAAAAUACUGAAAUCAGGAAAGUUAAAAACGAAAAUUUCCCAAUCGAAAGGCAAAAUAAAAUAAUAAAAGAUUUAAAACGAAUGGACAACAAUAGUUAUAUUCCUUACUUAAUACAGGCAUUUUACAAAUGUUGAAAAUGGUGGAUUGAACCUGGUUUUUUUUUGCGCUUAACCUCUCAUUUGCAUGACAGUCCCAUCAAAUUCAAUUAUUUUGACAAUGAUGCGGGAACAAAAUGUCACACAUAAAGGUGCAACAACAACACAUCAUGGGGUUGAUGUCAGGUGGUUCAAAAAGGUAAGCAGAUCCUGCUCCACAUUUAACACUUGUCGUGAACAUAAUCAACACGACAAGUGCUAGUUUAAACAUACAUAAAUAUGUUUAAACUAGCACUUGUCGUGUUGCUUAUGUUCUUACAAAGCCGGUAAAUAGUCUUAUGCGGUCGAUCACAUUCAUCAUGUUCAUGGAAAGGGAAUGGGAAUGUAUUUACGACAUAAAUAACAUCCGAUAUCAUAUUCAUAACGGAUAUUCCAUAAGGUCGAUUGAACAAUUGUUUGUCCUAAAUUAUGAACAUUGUUUACUACUACAUGUAUGUUACAUCGUUAUGGGUUUGCUUUAUUAUUUUAAGAAACAAAUUUAGUGUAUGCAUGUUUCCGUCCGUAUUAUCCACAAGUUUAUAACCAAGUAUGUACAAGUUAGCAUCGUGUCUUUUAUGUCUAUACAGUUGUUGUAAUUUGGUUGCUGCAUACGGAACGUACUUCAAAUAAUUGAUUACUUGCUUUAUGUAGUUGAAAUGUAUUUUUUGUUUAUCUAAAAACCCAAAAUAUAAAAUGUAUGAGACAUAGUGUCUUCUUUUGAAGUUAUCACGUCUAACCGAAGUCUAAUUUCAACUCUAAGUUAAACUAUAACCAUUCGGAAGAUACUAGCUGAGAGCUAUGUGAUUGACGUAUUUUUGUUGUACUUAUUACAGGCAUUGCACUUAGUUGUAUUCCAUGCAACCUGCAUACUGAUGACUGUACCAAACCUUGUCAAUAUGUUGGUGACGAACCCCACUGUCACUAUUAUAAUUCGUUUUCAAAUUGCUGUUUCUGCGAAAUUCCGAUUGAAUGCCAUCCUUCAAAUGUUACUAUAGCGUGUCCAGCACAAUGUACAUGCGAACCUCAUGGAGAACACCAUCACUGCAUAUGUCCUCAAUAAAGGUAAAUAU
rnacentral:lncRNA from 1 species